rnacentral:tRNA from 1 species
AUAUGGCUCAGUAGCAAAGCACCUGCCUGGCAAGCACAAGGUCCUGAGUUUGAUUCUCAGUAU